rnacentral:lncRNA from 1 species
AUUCAUUUCGCAACACCUACGGCUUCCACUAGAUGUCAACGAUCUUUAUAAAGUUGUUUGAAGCGUCUAUGAUAAACAGAGAGCAAAUUAGAAUCCAAGGAAGUUGACAUGUCAUCACUUCAUUUUUUUGCGCCUGCGCAUAAAUCUGAGAAACGUGAGUUUGUCAUCAUUUUUAUCUAGACAUAGGAUAGGUUGUGUGAAAAUAUUACUGAUGUUUAACGUUAAAAAUGGACCAAAAGAUUAAUGCUAAAUAACAUUUGACAUGUUUGAACGAACAUAAAUAGAUUAUUUACUAGGUUUUUUUAGCUUUUCGGCGUGAUUUUACCAGCCCCCCACCACGUUUUGUGGGAGCAUAAUGAACGCUAAGUACUUGGUGUUAUUUGGACAUAAAUUAUGAACUUUGUCAAAAGAAACCACAUUUGUUCCGGACCUGGAAUGCCUUCCGGACCUGGGAUCCUGCCUUCUGAUGGAGAUAAUCAAAGGGAAAUCAUUGCAAUGAUUUGAGGCCCCCUCUCUCCUUGUCUAAAUGGGUCAGAAUGUAAUAUCAAUAUUCUGACAGAUUGGACAAAGGCCCAUCCGGCACAAACACAAAUCAAAUAUGCAGAUUGAACUCUGGCCGCUCUCCCAUUGAAUCAGCCUAAUGUGGGCGAGGGUGAUUGACAUGGAGAGGAGGGUGACCCUGGCAGGCAUAGCACAGUGCUUAGACAGAUGUCUCUCUGUGUGACAGACUUCACGUCUGGCCUUAGACAUGUCUGGCAGACGCUGCAUUGUUGGGAAUUUUCACUGCAAAUAAAGACAUGGACCUCAACACACGCUGCGCCUUGGUCCGUCCAUUGUCACGACCGUGACAGAAUAUCCCACCACAAAAGGACCAAGCAGCGUGCAAUGGAGGAUAAAGUGAGUUGGACAUGGGAAAAGAUAAUGGGAGGACACGAGACCCUUCCUUGCCGGGAGUCGCCAAGGAGCAUAGGGUGACAGCGAUGACGCCGGGGACCGCGGCCACAGAAACCGCAAGAUUUUUUGGGGGGGGGCGCACAUGGAGCUGUCGGCUGAGUAGCGGAGAGUGCCAGAGCCCGUCUGGGAGUCAGUGGAGGAGUUUAAUGAGGGAUACCGGAGAGAGGUUUUGGCGAGGAGUAUGCUGCAGCGCAGGCACGCUGAAGAGCUUGUCAUCAGUCCGGUGCCACCUGUGCCGGUUCCUCACACUCGCCCUGAAGAGCGUGUCUUCAGUCUGCUGCCACAGAAACCCCAAUAAUUUUGUUUGGGGGGGGGGCACAAGGAGCAGUCGGUCGAGCCGCGGAGAGAGCCAGAGACCGUCGGGGAGGUGAUGGAGCUGUUGGAGAGAGAACUGAGAGAUAUGU